rnacentral:rRNA from 1 species
UUGAUCCUGGCUCAGGAUGAACGCUGGCGGCGUGCCUAAUACAUGCAAGUCGAACGCGCAGCGAAGAGUGCUUGCACUCUUCAAGCGAGUGGCGAACGGGUGAGUAACACGUGAAUAACCUACCGAAAAGCAGGGGAUAACAUUUGGAAACAGAUGCUAAUACCGUAUAAAACGUGCUGUCGCAUGACAAAACGUUAAAAGGUCCGUUUGGACCACUUUUUGAUGGAUUCGCGGUGCAUUAGUUAGUUGGUGGGGUAAAGGCCUACCAAGACGAUGAUGCAUAGCCGAGUUGAGAGACUGACCGGCCACAUUGGGACUGAGACACGGCCCAAACUCCUACGGGAGGCUGCAGUAGGGAAUCUUCCACAAUGGGCGAAAGCCUGAUGGAGCAACGCCGCGUGUGUGAUGAAGGCUUUCGGGUCGUAAAGCACUGUUGUAUGGGAAGAACGGUAAGGGUAGGAAAUGAUCUUUACAUGACGGUACCAUACCAGAAAGGGACGGCUAAAUACGUGC